AGAGUUUGAUCAUGGCUCAGGACGAACGCUGGCGGCGCGCCUAAAACAUGCAAGUCGAGCGAGAACCAGGGCUUCGGCUCUGGGGAGAGCGGCGAACGGGUGCGUAACACGUGAGCAACCUGCCCCGAAGACCGGGACAACACCGGGAAACCGGUGCUAAUACCGGAUGUCCUCACCGAAUCGCAUGGUUUGGUGAGGAAAUGGAUUCCGCUUCGGGAUGGGCUCGCGGUCUAUCAGCUUGUUGGUGGGGUAACGGCCUACCAAGGCAACGACGGAUAGCUGGUCUGAGAGGACGAUCAGCCACACUGGGACUGAGACACGGCCCAGACUCCUACGGGAGGCAGCAGUUAGGAAUCUUGCGCAAUGGGGGAAACCCUGACGCAGCGACGCCGCGUGCGGGAUGAAGGCCUUCGGGUUGUAAACCGCUUUCAGGAGGGACGAAAUUGACGGUACCUCCAGAAGAAGGCCCGGCCAACUACGUGCCAGCAGCCGCGGUAAUACGUAGGGGCCUAGCGUUGUCCGGAUUUAUUGGGCGUAAAGAGCUCGUAGGCGGUUCGGCAAGUCGGAUGUGAAAUCUCCACGCUCAACGUGGAGGGGCCAUUCGAAACUGCUGUGACUUGAGUCCGGUAGGGGGGUGUGGAAUUCCCGGUGUAGCGGUGAAAUGCGCAGAUAUCGGGAGGAACACCAGUAGCGAAGGCGGCACCCUGGGCCGGUACUGACGCUGAGGAGCGAAAGCGUGGGGAGCAAACAGGAUUAGAUACCCUAGUAGUCC
rnacentral:rRNA from 1 species